CAUAAGCCAGCUUGACUGCGAGCGUGACGGCGCGAGCAGGUGCGAAAGCAGGUCAUAGUGAUCCGGUGGUUCUGAAUGGAAGGGCCAUCGCUCAACGGAUAAAAGGUACUCCGGGGAUAACAGGCUGAUACCGCCCAAGAGUUCAUAUCGACGGCGGUGUUUGGCACCUCGAUGUCGGCUCAUCACAUCCUGGGGCUGAAGUAGGUCCCAAGGGUAUGGCUGUUCGCCAUUUAAAGUGGUACGCGAGCUGGGUUUAGAACGUCGUGAGACAGUUCGGUCCCUAUCUGCCGUGGGCGCUGGAAGAUUGAGGGGGGCUGCUCCUAGUACGAGAGGACCGGAGUGGACGCAUCACUGGUGUUCGGGUUGUCAUGCCAAUGGCACUGCCCGGUAGCUACAUGCGGAAGAGAUAAGUGCUGAAAGCAUCUAAGCACGAAACUUGCCCCGAGAUGAAUCUUCCCUGAGCCUUUAAGGCUCCUGAAGGAACGUUGAAGACGACGACGUUGAUAGGCCGGGUGUGUAAGCGCAGCGAUGCGUUGAGCUAACCGGUACUAAUGAACCGUGAGGCUUAACCUU
rnacentral:rRNA from 1 species